rnacentral:rRNA from 1 species
GAUGAACGCUGGCGGCGUGCUUAACACAUGCAAGUCGAGCGAUGAAGUUUCCUUCGGGAAACGGAUUAGCGGCGGACGGGUGAGUAACACGUGGGUAACCUGCCUCAUAGAGUGGAAUAGCCUUCCGAAAGGAAGAUUAAUACCGCAUAACGUUGAAAGAUGGCAUCAUCUUUCAACCAAAGGAGCAAUCCGCUAUGAGAUGGACCCGCGGCGCAUUAGCUAGUUGGUGGGGUAACGGCCUACCAAGGCGACGAUGCGUAGCCGACCUGAGAGGGUGAUCGGCCACAUUGGGACUGGGACACGGCCCAGACUCCGACGGGAGGCAGCAGUGGGGAAUAUUGCACAAUGGGGGAAACCCUGAUGCAGCAACGCCGCGUGAGUGAUGAAGGUUUUCGGAUCGUAAAGCUCUGUCUUUGGGGAAGAUAAUGACGGUACUCAAGGAGGAAGCCACGGCUAACUACGUGCCAGCCGCCGCAGUAA